UGGGGAAUUUUGGACAAUGGGGGCAACCCUGAUCCAGCCAUGCCGCGUGCGGGAAGAAGGCCUUCGGGUUGUAAACCGCUUUCGGCCGGAACGAAAUCGGCGGGAUGAAUAGUCUCGCUGGAUGACGGUACCGGAAGAAGAAGCACCGGCUAACUACGUGCCAGCAGCCGCGGUAAUACGUAGGGUGCGAGCGUUAAUCGGAAUUACUGGGCGUAAAGCGUGCGCAGGCGGCCGCAUAAGCCAGAGGUGAAAUCCCCGGGCUCAACCUGGGAAUGGCCUUUGGGACUGUGUGGCUGGAGUGCGGCAGAGGGGGGUGGAAUUCCUGGUGUAGCAGUGAAAUGCGUAGAGAUCAGGAGGAACACCGAUGGCGAAGGCAGCCCCCUGGGCCAGCACUGACGCUCAGGCACGAAAGCGUGGGGAGCAAACAGG
rnacentral:rRNA from 1 species